GAUCAAGCGACUAAGUGCAUCUGGUGGAUGCCUUGGCGAUCAUAGGCGAUGAAGGACGUGUAAGCCUGCGAAAAGCGCGGGGGAGCUGGCAAUAGAGCAUUGAUCCCGCGAUGUCCGAAUGGGGAAACCCACCUCUUUUGAGGUAUCCCUGGCUGAAUCCAUAGGCCAGCGGAGGCGAACCCGGCGAACUGAAACAUCUAAGUAGCCGGAGGAAAAGAAAUCAACCGAGAUUCCGCAAGUAGUGGCGAGCGAACGCGGAAGAGCCUGUACGUGAUAGCAGUCGUGUUAGAAGAACGGUCUGGAAAGGCCGGCCAUAGUGGGUGAUAGCCCCGUAUUCGAAAACACAAUUGUGGUACUGAGCGUACGAGAAGUAGGGCGGGACACGUGAAAUCCUGUCUGAAGAUGGGGGGACCAUCCUCCAAGGCUAAAUACUCAUGAUCGACCGAUAGUGAACCAGUACCGUGAGGGAAAGGCGAAAAGAACCCCGGGAGGGGAGUGAAACAGAACCUGAAACCGGAUGCAUACAAACAGUGGGAGCCUGGAAACGGGUGACUGCGUACCUUUUGUAUAAUGGGUCAGCGACUUACAUUCAGUAGCGAGCUUAACCAGAUAGGGGAGGCGUAGCGAAAGCGAGUCCGAACAGGGCGUUGAGUUGCUGGGUGUAGACCCGAAACCGGAUGAUCUAUCCAUGGCCAGGAUGAAGGUGCGGUAACACGCACUGGAGGUCCGAACCCACGUCUGUUGCAAAAGACGGGGAUGAGCUGUGGAUAGGGGUGAAAGGCUAAACAAAUCCGGAAAUAGCUGGUUCUCUCCGAAA
rnacentral:rRNA from 1 species